rnacentral:rRNA from 1 species
AUUGAACGCUGGCGGCAGGCUUAACACAUGCAAGUCGAACGAGUGGCGGACGGGUGAGUAACGCGUGGUAACCUGCCUGGUAGCGGGGGAUAACUAUUGGAAACGAUAGCUAAUACCGCAUACUACCAGAUGGACCUGCGUUGUAUUAGCUAGUAGGUGGGGUAACGGCUCACCUAGGCGACGAUCCCUAGCUGGUCUGAGAGGAUGACCAGCCACACUGGAACUGAGACACGGUCCAGACUCCUACGGGAGGCAGCAGUGGGGAAUAUUGCACAAUGGGCGCAAGCCUGAUGCAGCCAUGCCGCGUGUAUGAAGAAGGCCUUCGGGUUGUAAAGUACUUUCAGCGGGGAGGCGUUACCCGCAGAAGAAGCACCGGCUAACUCCGUGCCAGCCGCCGCGGUAAUAC